GGGCAUUGGAAAUUCUGGAUUUUCCUCUUGAAGGAGUGGGGGGGGGAGGCACAGAAUACUGGCAAAAUGUGAACCGGAUGGGACGUGUAGCCUUGAGCGUAAUUUGGAGGUAAAAUCUCCAGCACCUUAACUGUGACUUGGGACCCUUGAUGAGUCCCGCAGGGAGCACCACUCAGCAUGGGGGGAAAGAGUGCUUAGUUCAGUUACACAUGUUAAGAAAUCAGAAACAUCGUGAAAGAGACAACACCCCUCUACCCCCCAUCCCACUUUGGACUAUGACAAUUAACUUGAUUGAUCAUUCCUUUUCCUGUUUGGGACUUUCCAAGGUGUGUGUCUAUAUGUGAAAGGAGAGUACUGUUUGGAUAGAGAGAAAGGGAGCAGAGCACCUCGUUCGUAGUCUUUGUACCUAAAAAAGGCAAGUGAAUGAAGCAUCGGAGACCUGGUUUGCAUGUUAGCUCUUCCAACUAAAUAGCUGUGUGAUCUGGGUCCAGCUUCCUAACCUCUCUGAGCCUCAGUUACUACAUCAGUAAAAUAGGGAUAAUAAGAGCCACCAUGCCCAGCUCAGGGUUGUUGUGAGGACUGGGUGAGAGGCAUAAAGCUCUCUUUAUGUGCAUCCUAAAGCUCAAAUCUGAGGUCUUGGUUAGGAAAAAAGUUUAACCAACUUACGCUAACGUCGUACUCUUCCAUCAGGGUAACUUAAACAGGGAUGUUCUCUGCACGUAUUGGGAGGGGAAAUUUCGAGAACCUCUGGGUGGUCAUUACCUGCUUCUCCUUUGGAGGAGACGGUUCUCUUCUGCUUUCCAGAGGUUAUUUGGAGAAGCCAUUUGCUAAGACACGGCAGUGACCAUGUAGGAGCAGAAGGGACCAAUGACCAACUUGCUAAGACUCAGUGCAACUCCUAAAAGCCAGCUGAGAAUCAAGCUGUGCUCAGGAAGGCUGGAUAACUGUAGACAUUUAGGAGUUCAAGAUGACAAGAGUGGCCCCAUCUUUUGGUAAUUCAGAGAAAAUAUAAUUGGAGAGGGAAUAACUCCAACUGUAGUCUUAUUAUUACUGCAUCUGCAAAGCCCUAUCGUAUGACGAAUCUAUAGAGAUCUUAUUCCAAAGGGCAGACAUCCAAGAGGGAAGUCAGAAGCCUUCCGAGGAAGUUGGUGACAUUAGUGACCUGAGCUGGGCAGGACUGAAUAAGUGAGUGUCAUGAGCAAGGUAUUUGGCCAUCUCACCACAGGUCAGCUGAGAAGAAGAGGUAUACCAUAAGUUAAGUGGGAGAUUGGAUGGGGGUGCAGAAUUCUGUUUGGGGGAGAAAGCCGUCUUGGAUUAGCUGGGGCAGGGAGCUCCCAGAGAGUACCAGAAAAUAUUCCCGGAGGGAGGAAGAUCAAGUUCAGAUGCAGGCUUAGAAAAAUAGGUAACUUGACCCAAGGUAGCAGAACUUGCCUACCCAACUGCUUCAUCAAUGCUGUAUCAUUAAAUGGAUCAGGACGGGAGCAAAAAUAAGUCUAGGGACCACAGAGUGAUUGGAGAAGGGGCCGCAGGGUCAGGCUGACCUCACCUGAAGCCUCAAUAAGGCGUCGUUUGGAUGAGGCAGAGAAGAGCCCGUAUGUAAAGAGGCAUUUAGGAAGUAGGUUUGAGGAGGUUUGGAAAGGCAAUCUGACUUGUCUUCGGAGGAGGUUUGAACUGGUUGGAUGAAGAGCCAAGAGAAAUGGGGUUGAAAAACGGAAUCAGGAUCUUGGUACCUCUGGUGUCAGCAAAUUUUUCUUAGUUGCCCCCAGGGCAGGAAUAUGUGUUGUAAACUCUCAUUCCUUUGUGUACUUUAUAUCUUUCUUCUGUUUCUUAAUAAAUUCCUUUGUGUACUUUAUAUCUUUCUUCUGUUUCUUAAUAAAUUCUUUUGCAAAAUUUGAAGCUUUGCUGAGAUGAUUCAUGACUAUGCAGAACAUUCAACACCCAGGCCCAUGUAGUGAAAGGAAUCAGGUACUGGGCCAUUGCUGCUGUAGCUCGAGAGAGGCCUUUGGAAAGCCUUGGAGGACAUUUCAGGGGCAGGGUGACCAGCACAGGCAUCUGUGGUCCCAGCCCUUGUCCUGGGCACCCCUGCCUGUAGGACAGAGGGGCCCCUCUGGGCGGAGAUGCGCAUUUUGGCUCAUCUUUGGUGGGAGGGAGCCAGCAGGUGAUCUGGCCCAGCAGGACCCGGUGGAGGUGAGUGAGGCCCAGGUCAGGGUAGCUGGCAUGCCCAUCAAGGAUCUCUGCCUGUUUUCUGGUUUAGAGGAAGCCAAACAAGCAUCCACAGGCUCCAGCUAACAUGCUGCAUUAAAAAAAAUUUUUUUUAAUUAAAGUAUAGUUGAUUUACAAUGUUCUGUCAAUUUCUGCUGUAUAGCAAAAUGAACCAAUCAUAUAUAUAUAUAUAUGCAUUCUUUUUCUCAUAUUAUCUUGUUCUAUCACAAGAGUCUAGAUAUGUUUCCCUGUGCUGUACAGCAGGGCUUCAUUACUUAUCUGUUCUAAAUGUAAUAGUUUGCAUCAGACAACCCCAAACUCCCCGUCCAUCCCACUCCCUCCCCUACCCCCUAAGCAACCCCGCAUCUGUUCUCCAUGUCUGUUGAGUCUGUUUCUGUUCUAUAGAUAGGGUCGUCUGUGCCCUAUUUCAGAGUCUGUGUAUAAGAGAUAUCACAAAACAUGCUGCAUUUGUGAUCCCACGGUGGCCCCAGCAGGCCUGGGGGUACCCACCUCCCUGUCCUUCACAUUCUCUGACCUCGAGAAGCCUCACCCCUGACAAAGUGGGCACCAUCAACCUUAUCUUACAGACAUGGAAACCUAGGCCUGUGCGGUUUUGCUCCUUGGAAAUUUCGAUUUUGACCCCAAAGCGGCCCUUCCAACCAGCCCUUCGUGCUGAGCCUCUGUCUGUCGCCUUGUUCAUCAAUGAAGGAGCAGAACAAAAUGAGGUCUGAGGUUCCUCUGAGCUAACAGGCCAGGCCCCAUCCCGACAACAGGUCCGGAAUCUAGACAACAAGCAGGGCAGCUCAGCAAUGCCCCCACGCACCCCCACACACCAUCUUGUGCUCGUUGCCAGGGCCCCUCAAGCUGGAGCAGGGAUGACAAGUGACAAGAGAAUGUUUUGAGUGGCUCCGUGGGGAAGCAGGGGGCGGGGAUCAGGGCCCACCACUGCUGUGGUGACAGCCUGAAUAAGAAUUCCGCAAAUCAUCAUCUAAUGACUCAGCCUGGCUUUGGACCGGCGCCUCCGUGAACCCUGGGGAGCGUGACUCAACAGCAGAGGGGGCCGGGCGCGGGAGAGACGGUACCGUCCAUGUGAGUGCUGGCCACGGGGAGAACGGCCUGUUCCAGCUCCAGACCCUGAGGCGGAACGCAGGCUCCUGUGGUCAGACACACAUGGCCUUGGUUCCCGGCCCUGCGGCCAAACCUCCUCCCUCAAACCUGGGUCCCUCCUCCUUUGCAUGGGAGAGGUCACAGCUCCAGAGGCAUCAGGCCUUUGCUCACACCCGUGGGGUCUGCAGCGAGUUGUCAGGCCACCAGCUCUUCAGGCCUCUGUCCCCCGGGGUCAGGCCUGCCUUGGAAUAAAGGCGGCAGAGGCCACACUGUGGGGGUGGGGAAGCAGGGGACCUGUCAUAGGCUGGACAGAUGGUCACAGCAUCCCUCUGCCUCUACAUCGGGGGCUAUGGGGUCUUACGUGGGCCCAGUUCUGAUUAAUUGUCUCUUGGAGUUCCUGUUGUGGCUCAGCAGGUUAAGAACCUGACUAGUAUCCAUGAGGAUGUGGGUUCCAUCCCUGGCCUUGCUCAGUGGGCUAAGGAUCCACUCUUGCUGUGGCUGUGGUGUAGGCCGGCAGCUGCAGCUCUAAUUUGACCCCUAG
rnacentral:lncRNA from 1 species